rnacentral:rRNA from 1 species
AGCAGCCGCGGUAAUUCCAGCUCCAAUAGCGUAUAUUAAAGUUGUUGCAGUUAAAAAGCUCGUAGUUGAAUUUCGGGAUCAGUACGCUGGUCGUGCCUUUGGUAUGUACUGGUGUCACUGAUUCCUCCCUUCUGAAGAACCGUUAUGCCAUUUAUUUGGUGUGGCGGGGAAUCAGGACUGUUACUUUGAAAAAAUUAGAGUGUUUAAAGCAGGCUCGCGCUUGAAUACAUUAGCAUGGAAUAAUGAAAUAGGACGUUUGAUCUUAUUUUGUUGGUUUCUAGGAUCGACGUAAUGAUUAAUAGGGAUAGUUGGGGGCAUUAGUAUUCAAUUGUCAGAGGUGAAAUUCUUGGAUUUAUUGAAGACUAACUACUGCGAAAGCAUUUGCCAAGGAUGUUUUCAUUAAUCAAGAACGAAAGUUAGGGGAUCGAAGACGAUCAGAUACCGUCGUAGUCUUAACCAUAAACUAUGCCGACUAGGGAUCGGAUGAUGUUAUUUUUAAUGGCUCAUUCGGCGUAC